GCAUGCAUACUUGCAUGAGUUAGAGCUCUUUUGUUAUAACUAAAAAAGAGGCAACAAGUGCCCUUAAGCAGUAUCAGGCAUUAAGUUCAGAUAGUGCAGCUGUGCCUAUUCCCAAGUCAAACCCAGCAUAACUACGCCCGACCCUGAGAUCUGUUUUUAAAAACACCCAAACGUGAAAUCAUUCCCAAACCCAACUCAAACUCGACAGUCUUUCAAAAUUAGAACACAACAGACCUCAACCCCACUCCUAUUCCUAUUUAGCAUCUACACCUUCAAUCCACAUUCCAAAUCAAAGUCUAUAUACUUUCUCUAUCUCAUCUCCCAUAUAAGCCCUAUCCAGACUCUUCCCCCAUCCACAUCCAAAAUUUCAAAUAGAAAAUCAAGGUAGAGUUUGGGGGUUUUGCACACAAGCUAUAUGAUAAAAGGCGUAAGUGAGUAUUGGGAUUCAAUUAAGCAAGUUUGGGGGAAUUCACAAUUUGGGGAUAAUAGCUUCAUCAAGCACGAUUUAGUUCACUUCUAAGCCCUAGUUCUUCGACCAUGCCAAAGUUAAUUCGAACUCCAUCAUCUUCUUUGUCCAGUAGUGGUGAUGACGGCGAGGGAAGUAGCAGGGAUGUUCUGGACGCGUCAAAAUUCGUCAACCUCUCAGCCCAAAACUACUACUAGGAUGUUCUAGUUGGCAAAUCAUUUGUGUAAGAGAAGGGGAUUAAGCCGAGUCAAGGGGAUGUGAAGAUAAAGGAGCAGAUUCGACAACAUGGUUGGGCAUUAUUUGUAAACACACCAUUGCCAGCUCCAAUGGCGAUCGUCAGGGAAUUCUAUGUAAACGCCCGAUCGAGAGACUCAGAAUGGAAUAUCCUACGUAAGGGGAAAACAAGUUUCCUACACCAAGAAAGCAAUCAAUAAACUAUUUAAAUUGCCAACGCCAACUCUAGAUGACAUAAACUAGGUGGAAUCCCAGCGAUUUGAGACUGACCUAGACAAGCUGUUGAGGGACAUGUGCAAGCCUGGAACUAAAUGGAAUACAAAAGCAGAAACUAAGAAGAAAAUUCACUUUCCAUAAACUGCUUUGAAAAGGUAUGCUAAGGCCUGGUACAGUUUUAUCUGCGCGAGUAUCCUCCCCACCAGUCAUCAUCCGGACGUAACCACCGAAAGAGCUGUGAUUUUAUAUCGGAUUCUAAAAGGGCAGGGCUAGGAUGUCAGGUAUCUCAUCAAUUAGACAAUGCUUAGGUUUAUGCGAGCCAGCACAUCCGGUGGGAUUCCCAUACCUCCAUUGCCACUCGUCUAUGUUAUGCAACAAAUGUGGAUUGGGGUGAAGAGUAUCUUUAGCUGCCAAUGCGAGACAUAGAUUGGGCCACCAUAAAGAAAUAUAAUGUAUGGAGUGGAGGAGAAUCUCACCACUGAGGCUUGGGAUUUACUUUACCUGAUCAGGAAGAAAAUGAAGAAGAUGAAGAAGAUGAAGAGGAAGACACCUCUGUCCCACAGACAGUAAGGGUGCCUCCAGAUUACUUCGCCAGGUAGGAGCGUGAUAUGCGCCAACUGAAAAGGCGAAUAGACGCUCUUCACACCAACUUUCACGCCUUCACUGCCGAUUUUUCUAGGCAUUAACAAAUGCAUUUGGCUAGCUGGGAGCGCAAGUCUAGUUUCCUAUAUACGGGUUCGCCACUCCAUACCGACCACCAGACACACCACCCGAGCAAGAUGAAGCGAGUGGCAACGACGAUGCCAAUUAAGGGAGUUUUCUUAACCUUUAUCUCUAAUGAGGAAAUUGAAUAUCUUAAGUUUGGGGGUAUUGAUUUCAUAGUAGCUUAGUUUGCAUUUAUUUAGUGCAUGUAGUAGCAUCUUAGUGUAAUUGCAUGUUUAGUUCAUGUUUCAUUUAGUGUUGUUAGUUUAUUUUGUUUAGUUUAAAAUGAUAGUUUAGUUUAAUUCUUGUUAUUUUGGGAUUAAAAAUAUAUAAAUUCCAAAAAUAGUUGUUAUUUUAUUGCAUUUAGUUUAAUUAUAUUGCACUGUAUGAAUCCUAGUAUCUAGUUUGUAUGAAUUUCAUUUGGCCGAAGAUGAUAUUGGAAUUGCUUAAUUCUAGAAUAAUGUUGAUAAGUAUGACAUGGUCACAAUGUUAGAACAUGAUGUAAAUCUUUAUCUAUUAUUAUUGUCGUAAUCAGAUAGCACUUUAUAGUAACUAUCAUGAUUUGCCUAAGUAUAAGGGCUAUGAUAACACAAAGACUCAAGUUUGGGGAAAGAUUAGGGAGAAGUAUGCAAUAAUGCUAAAAAAAUGAUGAAUAAAUUGCUUGACUAGCUUAGUUCCGUGGCCUUUGAUAUUUGAGUAAGUACACCCUAGGGAAUGUCUCUACACCUAGCGCCCUAAAGUCGUCUGGUUUGGGAGUCGUUGUUCGAAAGCUCGCUACACGGGUAUCACUGAAAAGCCUAAGAGAAUCAGGCAUUGCAGAGUUAGGUGAAAACGCGGGAAAAGUGCGAAAAUCACCCUCGUGAGUGAAUAAUAGCUAAGCUAAUCCCUUUCUGAUUUCUAGCCUGGUCUAAGUAAAAUCAUAGACUAUACUUGUCCCACCUGCUGAUAUUAUUGAGUAUGAACUGUGAUUUUCCAUAUAAAAACGUAUUAUGUGAAGAACUUAUAUUAUGGCAAGCUUUAUGGUUGCUACGUACACUGCACACUACAUCAUUAAUGACAUAUUUUGGUUUACAAAAUGUUAUUACUUAGUGACCUGUCUAUUUGUGAUAUUCUGUUUGAGUGGUUGAUGCAGUUUCUGUGAGGCAUCUUUAUUGGAAUUCAUUGCUUGCGUGAUAUUGGGAUUCGUAGGCAUUUUAGUUUUAGCUUGCAUGUUAGUUAGUUGAUAUCUUAUCAUUAUCUUGUGUUGCUUGAGAGCAAGCAACGGUUCAAGUUUGUGGAUAUUUGAUAAGUUGGUUUUAUACCCACUUAUCAGGUAUCAACUAACUCCAAUUGUUGCUUAUCCCAUCAUGUUUUAGUUGCUUUUAAUGCAUUUUAGUCUUGUUGUGUAGGUUUCAUGCUCGGGAACUCUCUUGGUGGCAUUAGACAACAAAUGGUGAUUAGAGCAACUCAAAGAGGAUGGAAACUGAAGUAGUGGAAAGCUAAAGUGGUCAAUGCGUGCAAGGAAAUGAAGGAGUAGGAGCAGUAGGAUCUGCAGAAUUUCUUCUGCGCAGCUGCGCCCCAGAAGAAAAACAAAACUUCACAGCUGCGCCCAAGGCCGGUCAGACUGCGCUGUAGCACAGUUGCGCCCAAUUAAAGCAUAAACACGGCACAGCUGCGCCAGUCUCUGUAAGGGCAAAUUUGACUCUUCAUUUAAUGGACCAAUUGGAUUGUUCUAAACGUAGGGUUUAUUAGAAGUUGAGACGGAGUAUAUAGAACGUCUUCCUAGCCAUUUUAGGGUAUCUAUCUUCUCCUUAGUAUAUUCCUUUUUCGUUAUUCACCUUAGUUGCUAUUUUCCAUUUCUAGACUAAUUUAGCUUGGAUUUUGGGGUUUGAAGCAAUUGAAGGCUAUUGAUGAUUCGAGGAUGGAACUAUAGAGAAACCUCAUAUUUGCACUAUAUUUUCUAACUUCUCUCUAUUCCUUUACUUGUAGUUUCAUGCAUAAUCAAUUGUGGAUAAUGGAUCUUGCUUCUAUUAUGAACUAAACUCCAUUUUGGGAUUAUAAUGAAUCUCAUUGCAUAGCUGAGAUUGGUUUUCUUCCUUGUUGAUAUCUUAUUGAUUAUGAAUGGAUUGUCUAUCAUGAUUUGGUUUUAUUGUUUAAUUGCUUGAUCAGCAAUUACCGUGAUAACUUAUAUGAACUCGAGAGAUGAAUUAUAGGUUUAGAUCUAAUCAUGAUAGCAUGUGUUCAUGAAUUCUACAUGACGAUAGAAUGCAUGAUUCUUGCUUAGGAUAGAGAUAUACUGAAGCAUCGCAUGUAAUCAAUUGAG
rnacentral:lncRNA from 1 species